rnacentral:rRNA from 1 species
CAGUCGCCGCGGGAAUACGUAGGGUGCAAGCGUUAAUCGGAAUUACUGGGCGUAAAGCGUGCGCAGGCGGUUAUAUAAGACAGAUGUGAAAUCCCCGGGCUCAACCUGGGAACUGCAUUUGUGACUGUAUAGCUAGAGUACGGCAGAGGGGGAUGGAAUUCCGCGUGUAGCAGUGAAAUGCGUAGAUAUGCGGAGGAACACCGAUGGCGAAGGCAAUCCCCUGGGCCUGUACUGACGCUCAUGCACGAAAGCGUGGGGAGCAUACAGGAUUAGAGACCCCAGUAGUCCCUGUCUCUUAUAC